UACGUAGGGCGCAAGCGUUGUCCGGAAUUAUUGGGCGUAAAGAGCUCGUAGGUGGCUUGUCACGUCGGGUGUGAAAGCUUGGGGCUUAACUCCAGGUCUGCAUUCGAUACGGGCUGGCUAGAGGUAGGUAGGGGAGAACGGAAUUCCUGGUGUAGCGGUGAAAUGCGCAGAUAUCAGGAGGAACACCGGUGGCGAAGGCGGGUCUCUGGGCCGAUACUGACGCUGAGGAGCGAAAGCGUGGGGAGCGAACAGG
rnacentral:rRNA from 1 species